UUUACACAGUGUGCUGCAGGCUAGCAUGCCGUGAGAAACAACAGCCAGGUCCCAGCAGGCUGCGAAAUCCGUGGAAGCUGGAUCAGGCUUCCCGCCCUCCCCUGGGCUCCACAGCUCUCCAUGUGGGUCUCCAGCCUCUUCUCCCUUUGGCCAGGAUCUGGGUUUCGAUGGAGAAACGUGUUCUUUCCCUAGGAUAACCAGGUGGUUCUCUUCCGUGCUAGAGCUGCCUGGGAGGAAGUGUGCUGUGGUCUCUGUUUUCUUAACCCUGCGCAGGUGAGCCUCGGGAGCUGAGGUGCCCUCCAUCCCAGCACCUUCGACCGGCUGGAACUUUCCUACGAGCUCCAAAGGGGCAGCAGUGGAGGAGACAGAUGGGACUCACCUGUCCCAUCAGAACUAAAAAUAAGAAAGGAGGCUACGGUGAGCUGUCACUGUGGCAUAACGGCGCCAACUGACACAUUCCAGUUGCUGUUUCCAGUGAAAGGCUCUGUCUAAGCACGGCCGACUCCAUCAUCCAGCAUGGCUGGAGAUCCUUCUGGUCACCUAUUAGGGCACUCUCAGCCGGAAUAGGGGUGGGACCACUCAAGAAAAGGACACCGAAAGCAGUGUCUUCUGGAAUACAGGGGAAGGCGAUACCCCGUGAAGGAGUGAAAUCUAGACUUGCUUAGCACACGCUGCCUGAACCAGCGCUGCAUCCAAGCCGCACAGUCCCCUUCACAGGGGAGGGUCUCACUGUGCAGCUCUGGCUGGGCAGGUCUGGAACGUGCUGUGUAGAUGCCAAGAAAUCUGCCUGCCUCUGCUUUUCAAGUGUGAUGACUAAAGGCAUGCCCUGUCCUGUCUGACACUUGGCGCCCUUAUAUUCUAGGGGACUAGACCAUUUAAAGGCAAGGCAACACGGGCUCUACAUCCUUUGUUCAAUGGAGACUUGGGUAUGUCAGAGCAUCUUUCCUGACUAGACCAGUCAGUCACCUCAGAAGUUGUGGCUGUCCUUGGUCUCCUGGAGCUCCUCUGCUGUGUGCCGGUAAUC